UUAAAAAGCUCGUAGUUGGAUUUCUGUCGAAGGCGGCCGGUCCGCACUAUGUGCGUGCAUCUGGUUCGGUUUUGGCAUCCUCUUGGGGAUCGAUUCUGUGCUUGAUUGCAUGGAGCGGAAUUCAAGACUUUUACUUUGAGGAAAUUAGAGUGUUCACGGCAAGCUAUCGCUUUGAAUACGUUAGCAUGGAAUAAUAAUAUAGGGCGUAAGUUCUAUUUUAUUGGUUUCUAGAACAUACGCAAUGAUUAAUAGGGAUAAUUGGGGGCACUCGUAUUAACGCGUCAGAGGUGGAAUUCUUAGAUUGCGUUACGACGAACUACUGCGAAAGCAUUUGCCAAGGAUGUUUUCAUUGAUCAAGAACGAAAGUAUGGGGAUCGAAGACGAUUAGAUACCGUCGUAGUCUAUACCAUAAACUAUGCCAACUAGAGAUUGGAGGUCGUUUUUUUUAUGACUCCUUUAGCACCUUAUGA
rnacentral:rRNA from 1 species